GGUGGUCCUCUUCGGGACGGCUGUAGAGGUGCGUGCAUGGCUGUCGUCAGCUCGUGCCGUGAGGUGUUUGGGUUAAGUCCCGCAACGAGCGCAACCCUUGCCCUUAGUUGCCAUUCAGGUUAUUGCUGGGCACUCUAAGGGGACUGCCCCGAAUAACGGGGAGGAAGGUGGGGAUGACGUCAAGUCCUCAUGGCCCUUACGUCCAGGGCUACACACGUGCUACAAUGGCCGGUACAGCGGGAAGCAAUACCGCGAGGUGGAGCAAAUCCCUAAAAACCGGUCUCAGUCUUGCAGUCUGCAACUCGACUGCAUGAAGUCGGAAUCGCUAGUAAUCGCGGAUCAGCACGCCGCGUGAU
rnacentral:rRNA from 1 species